rnacentral:rRNA from 1 species
GGCUAACGCUGGCGGCGUGUCUUAGCCAUGCAAGUCGAGCGGACUUAUGGGGUAACUUAUAAGUCAGCGGCGGACGGCGGAGUAACACGUAGCUAACCUACCCUCUGGACGGGGAUAACCUACCGAAAGGUGGGCUAAUACCCGAUGUAGUCAUCCUGUAUAGGGGUGAUGAAAGGUGGGCUUCUGUUUACAAGCUCAUGCUGGAGGAGGGGCUGCGGCCUAUCAGGUAGUUGGUAGGGUAAUAGCCUACCAAGCCGAUGACGGGUAGCCGGCCUGAGAGGGUGACCGGCCCGAGGGGCACUGAGAUACGGGUCCCACUCCUACGGGAGGCAGCAGGCUAGAAAUUUGGGCAAUGGGGGAAACCCUGACCCAGUGACGCCGCGUGCAGGAAGGAGCCCUUCGGGGUGUAAACUGCUGUCGUGUAGGGAGAAGGGUACUAAGGUGAACAAUCUUAGUACUUGACGGUACUACAGGAGGAAGCCCAGGCUAACCUCGUG